rnacentral:rRNA from 1 species
UUGAUAGGUCAGAGGUGGAAGCAUGGUGACAUGUGGAGCUGACUGAUACUAAUCGAUCGAGGACUUAACCACA